rnacentral:rRNA from 1 species
CCAGACUCCUACGGGAGGCAGCAGUAGGGAAUCUUCCACAAUGGGCGCAAGCCUGAUGGAGCAACACCGCGUGAGUGAAGAAGGGUUUCGGCUCGUAAAGCUCUGUUGUUAAAGAAGAACACGUAUGAGAGUAACUGUUCAUACGUUGACGGUAUUUAACCAGAAAGUCACGGCUAACUACGUGCCAGCAGCCGCGGUAAUACGUAGGUGGCAAGCGUUAUCCGGAUUUAUUGGGCGUAAAGAGAGUGCAGGCGGUUUUCUAAGUCUGAUGUGAAAGCCUUCGGCUUAACCGGAGAAGUGCAUCGGAAACUGGAUAACUUGAGUGCAGAAGAGGGUAGUGGAACUCCAUGUGUAGCGGUGGAAUGCGUAGAUAUAUGGAAGAACACCAGUGGCGAAGGCGGCUACCUGGUCUGCAACUGACGCUGAGACUCGAAAGCAUGGGUAGCGAACAGGAUUAGAUACCCUGGUAGUCCAUGCCGUAAACGAUGAGUGCUAGGUGUUGGAGGGUUUCCGCCCUUCAGUGCCGGAGCUAACGCAUUAAGCACUCCGCCUGGGGAGUACGACCGCAAGGUUGAAAAUCAAAGGAAUUGACGGGGGCCCGCACAAGAAGG